GAAAAGUUAGGGAUUUAAGCAUGUUUUGAAUGAAAACAUCAGCAUAUGAACACAAAACUGAAGAGACACUGCAACCGUAUGAAAGCAGACCACUAUUUAGUGACAUUUCGACGUUUCCCUGAGGAUUAACUGCUCUGUAAUUUACCAAGAACUCAAUCAAAAUGAGUGCAAGUGGAGACGGACCACAAAAUAACCAAAACGGCCAACAGGUUAACCCACAAAGGUUCCCAAAUGGAGAUCA